rnacentral:lncRNA from 1 species
UUUAAACUUGGGAUCCCUAGGGCAGCUUGCACAGGAAAUCCUUUGGUUUCUGCUUCCCCAUCUGGUAUUAAAGUGUGCCAUCACACCAGGAUUUUUUGUUUUGUUUUCUGAAACAGGGUUUCUCUGUAUAGCCCUGGCUGUCUUGGAACUCAUUCUGUAGAGCAGGCUGGCCUCAAACUCAGAAAUCCGCCUGCCUCUGCCUCCCAAGUGCCAGGAUUAAAGGCAUGCACCACCAUGCCUGGCCACACCAGGAUUUUUAUGCGGGUUCUGGGGAUUGAACUCAGGUACUCAUGAUUUUAUGUAUGGUAAUAACUUUAUGGACUCAAGUUAUUUAUUUAGCCUCUCCACUCCCCUAAAGAUAUGCUGUACCCUAGCCCAAGUCUGCCUCUGUCUCCCAAGUGCUAAAAUCAUAUGAAUGAGCCAUCAGGUUGCUGAUAAAAACUUUAAAACUGUGAGGGCAAAUGACUUACAUAAAAAAGCCUUAGGAAUGGUAUACUACAGGCCAGCUGUAGGGAAAACGAGUUAGUGGACGAUACCUCAGGUCUUUGUGAUUCCCACAUUAAUGUCAGUAGGAAGAACAAUUAGCAUGCUAAGCAUGUGAGGCCUGGCCUAUUCUGCAUGACCAGUCUUUUUGCUAUCAAUAGAAGCUUUGUUAGGCCAAGCAUUCAUGCCCCAGCUGAAGGCUACCUCUAAGUUGGUCAGACUGGCUGAAAGAGGAGAGGUAGAAAGAGAGAGCUCAAGACCCACCUGAGUUGUGGGGAAGCACUAACAAUGUAGCAGCGCCCACACAAUCCUAGAUGUCUAGACGCAGAGAGAACAGGUGACUCCACCCCCACCCCAAAGUUUCAAAGCCGGUGAGAGGCAGUUUCUGUCCUGUUAACUACCUGGCCAGGCCUAGCUUCUACCUCGUAAGCUGCCUUGGGACUCCUUUUGACAUGAGGGUUUUGUUUUGGUUUGGUUUUUCGAGACAGGGUUUCUCUGUAUAGCCCUGGCUGUCUUGGAACUCACUUUGUAGACCAGGCUGGCCUCGGAACUCAGAAAUCCACCUGCUUCUGCCUCCUGAGUGCUGGGAUUAAAGGCGUGGGCCACCACUGCCUGGCUUGUUUUGUUUUUAAUUGUCCUAAUUUACUGUUUUCUGAUUUGUCUUAACAGUGACAUUUUGGAUAAGUUUUUAAAAAUGUAUUUAUAUUUCACCUUUUAAAACUCAGAACAUAACAAAUUCCACUUACUGGACAUUCAUACUAUUAGAAAUCCCUGAAGUACGUUUAAUAAAAAGAGGUAAGUCUCUUGG